AUUGGGUGUAAAGGGCGCGUAGGCGGAUACUUAAGUCUGGUGUGAAAACCUAGGGCUCAACCCUGGGACUGCAUCGGAAACUGGGUAUCUUGAGGACAGGAGAGGAAAGUGGAAUUCCACGUGUAGCGGUGAAAUGCGUAGAUAUGUGGAGGAACACCAGUGGCGAAGGCGACCACCUGGGCUAAUACUGACACUGAGGUGCGAAAGCGUGGGGAGCAAACAGGAUUAGAUACCCUAGUA
rnacentral:rRNA from 1 species